CAGCUUUGGGAAGUAGAGCUGGGGCUUCAUAUCUAAGGCUGGGGGAGAGAGACUGAACUGGGGUUGGGUCUGGAGUGGCAGUAUGUACAUGGAGAAUUGAACAAAUUGGAACUCCAGAAAAGGGAGUGUUUUAACUAACUCUGGGUUGUGUUUUUGAGUUUAUUGAGGAACCAAGAGGAGAUAUGGAGGUAGGGUACUGCAGGGUGACCUCUGGUCAUGAGAAGCUGCUGGACCUUUUACAAAUAUCCAAUAUCUGUAGUGUAAGGAGCUAGGAAGUAGUCCUUACAGAUAAUAAAUGAGGCACCUGAGUGAGGUAUGGUAUGGGGAAAAUGUGCAGUGUUGCUGGCCAUUCUGUCCUUUCUCUCAGGAUGAGAGUGAAUAAUGAAUGCCAAUCCCUGGGUCUGUUGAUAUAGCCUCCUUCAGCAACACUACCUGCUAUUUUUGAAAAAUCUAUGCGAGGGGACUGUGUCUGAGGCACUCGUACUUCAUUUCCUCAAGGGGUGAUAGAAGAAUUGUAAGGCAGCACUGAGGUCACCCGCUCUGAAUUGACCUGUUCUGCUCUUGAAAUGGAGCAUUGGUUUCUAACUGAAUAAUUGACUGAUUCAAUGAUCAGCUCUUAGGAUCCCACUUGAAUUGCUUAUCCAAUACUUCAAGAGCCUCCUUUGUAAGAAGGUGCUAUAUAAAUAAAUUGGUGAUUAAUUG